rnacentral:rRNA from 1 species
UACGAAGGGGGCUAGCGUUGCUCGGAAUCACUGGGCGUAAAGGGCGCGUAGGCGGCCAAGUAAGUUGGGGGUGAAAGCCCGGGGCUCAACCCCGGAAUUGCCUUUAAGACUGCAUCGCUUGAAUCCAGGAGAGGUGAGUGGAAUUCCGAGUGUAGAGGUGAAAUUCGUAGAUAUUCGGAAGAACACCAGUGGCGAAGGCGGCUCACUGGACUGGUAUUGACGCUGAGGUGCGAAAGCGUGGGGAGCAAACAGG